UGGGGAAUAUUGCACAAUGGGGGAAACCCUGAUGCAGCAACGCCGCGUGGAGGAUGACGCAUUUCGGUGUGUAAACUCCUUUUAUAAGGGAAGAUAAUGACGGUACCUUAUGAAUAAGCACCGGCUAACUCCGUGCCAGCAGCCGCGGUAAUACGGAGGGUGCAAGCGUUACUCGGAAUCACUGGGCGUAAAGGAUGCGUAGGCUGUAAUAUAAGUCAGAAGUGAAAUCCAACGGCUCAACCGUUGAACUGCUUUUGAAACUGUUUUACUAGAAUAUGGGAGAGGUAGAUGGAAUUGGUGGUGUAGGGGUAAAAUCCGUAGAUAUCACCAGGAAUACCGAUUGCGAAGGCGAUCUACUGGAACAUUAUUGACGCUGAGGCAUGAAAGCGUGGGGAGCAAA
rnacentral:rRNA from 1 species